GUAACGGUGUCUUUAGACACCACCCUUAUCUUCGAAAUUUUUUUU
rfam:Picea glauca, whole genome shotgun sequence.